rnacentral:rRNA from 1 species
UACCGGCGAGUGAGCGGCAAAAGCUCAAAUUUGAAAUCUGGUACUUUCAGUGCCCGAGUUGUAAUUUGUAGAAGUAACUUUGGAUUUGGUCUUUGUCUAAGUUCCUUGAACAGGACGUCAUAGAGGGUGAGAAUCCCGUUUGUGGUGAAGAUCCCAUUUCCUUGUAAAGUGCUUUCAAAGAGUCGAGUUGUUUGGGAAUGCAGCUCUAAGUGGGUGGUAAAUUCCAUCUAAAGCAAAUAUUGGCGAGAGACCGAUAGCGAACAAGUACUGUGAAGGAAAGAUGAAAAGAACUUUGAAAAGAGAGUGAAAAAGUACGUGAAAUUGUUGAAAGGGAAGGGCUUGAAAUCAGACUUGAUGUUUUUGAUCAACUGUCUCUUGGGACUGUGCACUCAUUUUUCAUCAGGCCAACAUCGGUUUAGAUGGUGGGAUAAAAGUUUAAGAAUGUGGCUCCUCGGAGUGUUAUAGCUUAGAUUAAUACCACCUAUCUGACCGAGGACCGCGCCUUUUGGCUAGGAUGUUGGCGUAAUGGUUUUAAGCCACCCGUCU